rnacentral:rRNA from 1 species
AUGUCAUCAGUAGGAUCAGGGGCUUCUUCUGCUGCCGCAACCGGAAGAACACGAAAAGAUCCAGCCUGGGAGCAUGCUUUACCAAUUAUUGAUGAAUUCAGAACCAAGAACAGAGUUGGAUGCAGAUACUGCUUGCACUUUUUUAAUGGUGGCAUUACCAGAUUUAAGAAGCACUUGGCUGGAAUAAAAAAAGAUUCUGUAUGUUGCCGACAGGUUCCUGAUCAUGUUAAAGAGCAGAUGCUUACAUUGAUAGCUGAGAAUGAGAAAAAGAGGGAUAAAUCACUGAAGAACAUGUUGGAGUUGCAAGAGGAGGUCAGAGAGAUGUAUGGUCAGAGUGGGAAUGAGGAUUCAGAUUGCGCAAUCGUUGAUUAUCUUGCUACUACAGCAAGUGGAAGCUCUCAAGUUCCUAAGAAGCCUCAGACCAAGGGUCCAAUGGAUAAGUAUCGAGCACGGCCAGGAUUGGGAAAGCAAACUACAGUGAAUGCACAUUACAAGGUCAAAGAAGCAAAGAUAACUUAUGAUUAUAUCUGUGACUUCUUUAUUGAGGGUGCCCUUGCUCAUAAUAUUGCUAGUCUUACAUCAUUUGCUCGAAUGGUAGAAGCAAUGGUUGUACUUUUGGUUAUUAGGCGAUGGUCUAAUGGAUCAUGGACUACGAAUGUUUAA